rnacentral:misc_RNA from 1 species
CACGUAGGUUGCAAGCGUUGGCCGGACUUAUUGGGCGGAAAGCGCGCGUAGGUGGUUUGUUAAGUUGGAUGUGAAAGCCCCGGGCUUAACCUGGGAACUGCAUCCAAAACUGGCAAGCUAGAGUACGGUAGAGGGUGGUGGAAUUUCCUGUGUAGCGGUGAAAUGCGUAGAUAUAGGAAGGAACACCAGUGGCGAAGGCGACCACCUGGACUGAUACUGACACUGAGGUGCGGAAGCGUGGGGAGCAAACAGG